rnacentral:lncRNA from 1 species
GAAAACAUGACCAUAAUAGUCACACAAAAUUUCAUUUAAAGUGAGCUAAUAUUCAAUAUCCGCUUCAUAGACCAAAUAAAGUUGGUACAUGACAACAAAAGAUACAUAGCCAACCAUGCAUAGAUACCAACUCGCCAUGUUGCCAACAAAAGUAAAGCUAUAUAUACAUACAUAUGUCACUACAUGUGACCGUGCAAUUUCUUCCAGCACGGUCAAAAGCAUCUCUCACUUGUUCAUUUUUUGCCAACAGAAAGACAUACAAUCAGCCUAGAAGAAC